rnacentral:rRNA from 1 species
CCUACGGGAGGCAGCAGUGGGGGAUAUUGCACAAUGGGGGAAACCCUGAUGCAGCGACGCCGCGUGGGUGAAGAAGCGCCUCGGCGCGUAAAGCCCUGUCAGCCGGGAAGAAAAUGACGGUACCUGAAGAAGAAGCCCCGGCUAACUACGUGCCAGCAGCCGCGGUAAUACGUAGGGGGCAAGCGUUCUCCGGCUUUACUGGGUGUAAAGGGGGCGCAGACGGCGAUGCAAGCCAGGAGUGAAAGCCCGGGGCCCAACCCCGGGACUGCUCUUGGAACUGCGUGGCUAGAGUGCAGGAGGGGCAGGCGGAAGUCCUGGUGUAGCGGUGAAAUGCGUAGAUAUCAGGAGGAACACCGGUGGCGAAGGCGGCCUGCUGGACUGCAACUGACGUUGAGGCCCGAAAGCGUGGGGAGCAAACAGGAUUAGAUACCCCGGUAGUC